rfam:Ochotona princeps cont2.74742, whole genome shotgun sequence.
AAGGAAGGAGAGACUGUUUCUACAGGUGUCAUAGAAAAAUCAAUGCCAAGCCAUGGAUUAUUGGAUGCUGCAGAACCACAGAGAUGUGGCGGUGAAAUUCUUCCAAAGG